rnacentral:rRNA from 1 species
CCUACGGGUGGCAGCAGUGGGGAAUAUUGCGCAAUGGGCGAAAGCCUGACGCAGCGACGCCGCGUGAGGGAUGAAGGUCUUCGGAUCGUAAACCUCUGUCAGCAGGGAAGAACGGUCACUGUGCUAAUCAGCAGUGAAUUGACGGUACCUGCAAAGGAAGCACCGGCUAACUCCGUGCCAGCAGCCGCGGUAAUACGGAGGGUGCGAGCGUUAAUCGGAAUUACUGGGCGUAAAGCGCUCGUAGGCGGUAUGUCAAGUCAAGGGUGAAAUCCCCGCGCUCAACGUGGGAACUGCAUUUGAAACUGGCAGACUGGAGUGUGUGAGAGGAUAGUAGAAUUCCAGGUGUAGGAGUGAAAUCCGUAGAGAUCUGGAGGAACAUCAGUGGCGAAGGCGACUAUCUGGCACAUAACUGACGCUGAGGAGCGAAAGCGUGGGUAGCAAACAGGAUUAGAUACCCUUGUAGUC